rnacentral:rRNA from 1 species
UACGUAGGGUGCAAGCGUUGUCCGGAAUUAUUGGGCGUAAAGAGCUCGUAGGCGGUCUGUCGCGUCUGCUGUGAAAACUCAGGGCUUAACCCUGAGCUUGCAGUGGGUACGGGCAGACUAGAGUGCGGUAGGGGAGACUGGAAUUCCUGGUGUAGCGGUGAAAUGCGCAGAUAUCAGGAGGAACACCGGUGGCGAAGGCGGGUCUCUGGGAAGUAACUGACGCUGAGAAGCGAAAGCGUGGGGUAGCGAACAGG